rnacentral:rRNA from 1 species
UACGUAGGGUGCAAGCGUUGUCCGGAAUUACUGGGCGUAAAGCGCGUGUAGGCGGGUCUUUAAGUCAGGGGUGAAAUGCCAAGGCUCAACCUUGGAACUGCCUUUGAUACUGGAGAUCUUGAGUCCGGGAGAGGUGAGUGGAACUGCGAGUGUAGAGGUGAAAUUCGUAGAUAUUCGCAAGAACACCAGUGGCGAAGGCGGCUCACUGGCCCGGAACUGACGCUGAGACGCGAAAGCGUGGGGAGCAAACAGG